CACACCGUACACACACACACACACACACACCUCCAUUCUUCUCACUUCAACUCAACCUCCAUUCACAUUCUUUUCUUUUUCUUCUUCUUCUUCUUCCUCUUCUUCUUCUUCUUCUUCCUCUUCUUUCCUUUUUAAUUAUUAUGUCUUAACUCUCUCUGAUAAUCAAUAUUUGGCGUUGUUAGUUUAUGGACCACUUUGGCCACCUCACAGAUGAUGGUGUUCUCGUUGAUGCCAAUGCUGGAAGCUUUGCCCAAUCACGACCUUCCAAGAGACGGAGAAAUGGGUGGAUCCCUACAAAGGAUUCCCAUUCCCCCAUUCUUUCUUCUCCCUCCCUCACCAUUCCUCCUGGAAUCAACCCAACUCUGUUGCUUGAUUCCCCUGUUAUGCUUCUCAAUACACAGGAUUUGCCAUCUCCAACCACUGGUACAUUUCCUCCCAUACAUCAAAUAAAGGAUGAACAAUCAUUGUUGAAUCCUGUAAUGCCAGAAGAUGGAAUUAGCCACGGUAGUGAGGAUUCCUUCUUCAGGUUCGCACCUCAGGGGGAGCUUUGCACUCUUCAAAGUCUUCUGAGGAUUGAAAAUCAGGAAGCUGAAAUUGAUCAUCAAGCCCUUGAAUCGGAGAAAACGCUGAUGGAUUUUGAAUUCGUACCUGAUAUUCCAAAAGAGGCUGCUGUAUUGAAAUAUGAAAUUGCACCAUCCACUGACAAUAGUUAUUUUGAUGGCAAGAUUGUUAAUGGCAACUGUGAGAAUAUGGAAAGUUGUCUUUCUUCUAUAACUACUAAUCAACCAUGUAUACAUGAAGAAUCAACACAAGGAGAUGACAUUGACACGCAGCAUCCUUUAGAAGAUGAACAAAAAGGGUCUUACAUUCCUAUGGGAAUGUUAAGGACAUCAGAAGAUGGAUACAACUGGAGGAAAUAUGGACAGAAACAGGUCAAAGGUAGCGAAUAUCCAAGAAGCUACUAUAAAUGUACGCAUCCAAAUUGUCUAGUAAAGAAAAAGGUGGAGCGAUCUCUUGAUGGUCAAAUAACUGAAAUCAUCUAUAAGGGUGCUCAUAAUCAUGCAAAACCUGAUCCCAAUCGUCGAGCCAUGGCUGGAUCUGUGCCAAUUUCAGGGGAUAAUCCAGAAAUUGGUGAAGGUGGUGGAAACCAUUCCAAACUUGAAGCUGGGCUGACGUGGAGAAACUCUCAAUAUGGGGUGAAGGAUAUCAAACCUAUCUCAAAUUGUAGUGUUGAUGGUCUAGAGAGGACGCCCUCCGUGUCAGUUUUGAGUGAACUUUCUGAUCCAUUGUUAAAUCCCCAAGAGAAAACUGUUGGGGUUCUUGAACCGGUAGGAACACCUGAGCUUUCAUCCACACUUGCCAGUCAUGAUGAUGAUAAUGGUGGUGGUGGUGACGAUGAUCUUACAACUCAGGGAAGCAUUUCAGUUUGCACAGAAGCUGAUGAUGCCGAACCUGAAUUGAAAAGAAGGCGGAAAGAGGAUAGUUCAAUUGAGACAAACUUGGCUUCAAGAUCUGUACGUGAACCAAGAGUAGUUGUCCAAAUUGAAACUGAAGUUGACAUACUUGAAGAUGGGUAUCGGUGGCGGAAAUAUGGUCAAAAAGUUGUCAAAGGAAAUCCAAAUCCAAGGAGCUACUACAAAUGCACGAGUGCAGGCUGCUUAGUAAGGAAACAUGUUGAGAGAGCAUCACAUGAUCUGAAAUGUGUCAUUACAACAUACGAAGGGAAACACAAUCAUGAAGUGCCAGCAGCAAGAAACAGCAGUCAAGUAAACUCGGGUAAUGGCAAUGCCCAACCGCCUGCUUCUCAUGUGCAACCAAACAUGGGUUUGUCCAGAAACUCAAACGUCCCAAAGUCCGAAACAGAAAUUCAAGAUCUUGCCACCCAUUUUUAUCCAAAACCGGAAUUUAACAAUGACUAUCAAAGGUCUGGUUUUGACACUUUUACAAACGAUAUGAAACUUGGAGCUCCUCCAUUCUGUCAAAUGAAGUUCCCUCCACUCCGGAACACCUUGCCAUACAGUACCUUUGGAUUAAGUUCAAAGCAUACUGCAACAGGUAUCUCUGGGUCUUUGGCAUCUGUGGUCUCGGACUUUCCGAUUUCUUUGCCAUUGAACCAAAAACUCUCGGCCGCUGGUUACGAUUAUACCAAUGGAAGACCAAUACUACCAUUUCAGGUUUUCUUGGCUGGUCAGCAGCUGAGGGAGACAGAUAGAUUCCUCACACCCAAACAGGAGCACGACGACGAUAACAUCUGUGCUUCAUUCCAACCAGUUGUCGAUAGUUCGAGUGGAUCUUCAUCGUCAUCGAUCUCAUCAGUUUAUCAACAAAUCAUGGGAAAUUUUACAUAGCUUUUUCAUUCUUGACACAACAGUAUAGGUGUAGUAAUGAAGCUUUUUUUCUUGCCUUAAUUCAUUGUAAUUACUCAUUUAUUCAUAAUUCAAUUCCUACAAAUCCAUAUAGUUUCCACAGUAACUCUGCCUCAAUGCUCUUCAAGUUACUGAUGACCAUUACAGAACAGAAAAUUCAGGUGGUGAAGAAUGCCCAUAGGAGAUCAUAUCACUUCUCAGUUGGCUAUUUUGCUCAAUACUGCCUUCCACAUCAGGUGAACAAAUAAGGCCCAAGAUCCCUCAUUUCCAGUGAGUUAGUUGUCAAGCUCAGGGGUCGUUUUAUAGCAUUCUUAUUUUUUUUGUUUGGUUCUUCUUGUUUCCAAUUUCUUGAGAAACGUAAGCGUUUGGUAAUUGUUCCUAUUCCUUGUUUCUCAUUUUUCAUAAACGUUUUCAAAAUUUUGUUGGAAUUUUGGCAACAAUCUCAGGUGAACUAAACGUUUUACUUAUAAAUAUAUUAUACCAAAAAUAUCUACAAAUGAAUUAUAACGCUAGUUUUAAAAUGGUUAGUUUUCAUAAAUAUAACAAAACACCUGAAUAUUUACAACCCGUGUAACAAAAUAAAAAAACUCAUGAUAUUUUCAUAAAUUCCAAGUUUGCGCUUGAAUAAGAAAUUCCAGGAUUUUGGAAAAGAAAAAAAAAAGAAAUAAGAAAUGAUUUUCAAACAUGAUUUUGUUAUGUUUUCAAAAAGAGAAAAAGUAAAAAGGAGGGAGAAACAAUUACCAAACUUAAAAUGAUCGUAUGUAAUUUGAUCUUCGUUUUGAUUAAACUAUGAACUCCUACAGUGUUUUUUAUUAACAUCAGUCUCUUUAAUGUUUGGUGCAUAUAGAUAGAUAAGAAGUAUAAGCAUAAUAUGAUAGAUGAAGUUGAGCCAUUUCUACAUUUUGAAAGGUAAAUGAGUAAUUGCUUAUUCAACUUGCUGUGAUGCACUAAAUCAUGAAUAUAUUGAAGAGUAAAUGGCAGUUGAAAGGAUGAAUGACCUCUUGACUGAUCUCAACCAUUUAGGGCUUAUAUUGAAGAGUAUGGAUAAAACGUCAACACCUGGAUCCAACAUAAGCAGAAUUUAGGGCUUACUAGCAUGCACAUUUUUUUCUCAAAUGUAUUGGAACAAUUUAAUAAACAGCUAAAACUAGUGGUAUAGCUACAUUGUGGUUGCAACAUUUUUAAUAUGUCUU